rnacentral:misc_RNA from 1 species
AGAGAGAGAGAGAGAGAGAGCUGCGUGCCUUCUUUUGCGGGUCGUGUAAUAAUAUCCCGUUCUUUGAAACCCAAACCCAAAAAGAAAAUUAAAAAAAAAAAAGAAAAACUAAAACACGAUUCUCUAAGGACAGUUACUUCAGCAGAUUCUUUUUAGGAAGUAGCUUCAGCAGGUGCCUCCAAGCUGCAGGCCAACCAGCUACUUUCCUAGGCAGUUAAGCAAACAACAAUACUGUCCAAAAAAGAAAUUGAAUAGUACACUAUAACCCCUUUGUGAAUGAAUUUUCAAAUAUGGGUUGUCUUAGGUGCAUUUCCAAAAUAUGACUAGCAUAUAAAAAACUUCACUUUACUCAAGGCCAUUUUUUCAGCCAAAAAAAAAAGUUUCAGAUGAUUCAUUUGAUGAUAAGAUGGAAACACCUAUGAUUUUGGAAUCUUCAAUUUAAAAUCAGAAAAUAGCAUUAUAUAUAAUUAAAUGAGCAAAAGAUUUUAGGGUCCAACAUUCUCAAAGAAAAGGUUCAAGUAUGCAAGUACAUUUUAGAAAUUGGAUAGUUAUCAAAUCACUAGCAAAGCAAUUGAAAAAAAUCAGAAGAUAUAAAGCAUCACAUCACAAGUUUAAUUACAAGAUAAUAUAUUAAUAUAUUUCUCAAUGAACUGAACAAGUAAGCACUGAUAAUAUACCUCUUCAGCAAACACGUCGAAAGG